rnacentral:rRNA from 1 species
UACGAAGGGGGCUAGCGUUGCUCGGAUUGACUGGGCGUAAAGGGCGCGUAGGCGGUUCGUACAGUCAGACGUGAAAUUCCUGGGCUCAACCUGGGGGCUGCGUUUGAUACGUGCGGACUUGAGUGCGGAAGAGGGUCGUGGAAUUCCCAGUGUAGAGGUGAAAUUCGUAGAUAUUGGGAAGAACACCGGUGGCGAAGGCGGCGCCCUGGUCCGAUACUGACGCUGAGGCGCGAAAGCGUGGGGAGCAAACAGG